CACUAAAAAAAUAUGAAAAUUACACUAGACGUAAUUGAAAUAUUGACAGAAAAUCAAAGAACGUAUCAUAAAAAUUUACUGAAUUUUACAUCUUACCAGACGUAAUCACCAAACAAAAUUGCAAAAAUCAAAUCCGUGAUCAUAUGGUCGAAGUUACUGAAUAUUAACAUUCAAUAAAUGUAAUUUUAAGUCUCGUAUGAUGCACAUAACUGGAGCAUAUGAUUUGUCUGAAUAUUCAAUCACGUUACUUAAUUUUACAUCAGUUCGUAUAGAAUUUCACCCAUUUUGGCUGCUCCGCAUCGCUGCGUGUACGACUGUCAAAGUCAGCCAUCUUACACUGUGCGAUCACAACAGUCGAGUGGAAGUUUUAUUUUGCUGCUAAGGUGGAACUCUUCGCAAUCUUUUGGCAGUUUUGUGUUCCUUAGAACCGUGCAAAUUUGUUAGAUUUUGAUGUCCGGUUCCUGAAGGCCAUUUGCCAGUUCCGGUGCUCAAGCAGAAUCCGGAGUCUGUUCGCUAGUUUCAAGAAUGCUGCAGUACAUUGCGGAAAUCCUUAGAAAGCUUGGUCCGGAAUUGUUUUCCGAAACUUCGCUACAAGCAUCGACAAGCCUACUUCCUCAAGUGGCUGUCCAUUCAAGCACGCCAGGGAAAAUGACUCCGACGAAGAUGUUUCGGUGGCCGCAUCUGGAACAAAAACGGCACGGAUUCAAGUGUGUGCGACUCGUAGUGUGGUGAAUUGAAAAGUUUUCCAAGAAGAAAAGUGAGUGCUAUCGGAAUCCGCCGAAAUAUUGAGUUCCGGACCAAAAUAUUGAAAAAUGUGCGCCGUUGAUUUCGGACUCCCGAUAGAACCGAACCAGCACACUCACACAACGGCUGUUCGUGCCCAAGGUGGAACCUGUUCUAGGCGAUAACUCGAAGUCGAAUGAUGUCGAAAAAUAAUGUGGUAUAGGGUAACAGCAUCUAAUUCCAGCGUGCCUCUAAUGUUGGCAGGUCAGAACUUUGACAUUAAAUUAAAGCUAAUUAAAAGCGUUUUCAACUGAACUCGAGUGAUAAAUAGCUCAAUGAGAAGUGAGCAAGCAAGUUUCUAUCAAAA